UGUGUGUAUUAUUGAAGAGUUACAGGUUUUUUAUUUCAGCCCCUCGGCCUUUAGCAGUGCAAAGCAGCAGCUCAGAUCGCAAAGGGCCAAAGGCAAAACCUCGCAUCUCAGGCGGCCUGAGUGGCUGAGCUCUCUCCGAGUUCGAAGUCCAAAUUCUCCGACUCCGUUCUCUUCUCGAUCUCGACUCUACUUCUGUCACGAGGUCCUCCAUCUGUGUCCUUGCGUUUGCGGUCAGAAGCCCCCAAUCCUCGUUGACGGCAACGACGACUCUGCUCUCUGUCCCUGCGGCUGCUGCUACACUGACUCCAUCUAUGUCCUUGCGUUAAUCGUCGAUUUUUCGUUCAGCUUGUAAUGAUUUUUAGAUCAGCUUGUAAUGUCGAGAUCUAACUCCUCUGAGAGAGCGAAAGAAGAGAGAGAAAAUGAGAGAGGACCUGCUCGCCUCUGUUUGGAGGAAGAUGCCGUAAGACACUUAUUAUUAUUAUUAUUAUUAUUAUUAUUAUUAUUAUA